rnacentral:rRNA from 1 species
UAGGGAAUCUUCCACAAUGGACGCAAGUCUGAUGGAGCAACGCCGCGUGAGUGAAGAAGGUUUUCGGAUCGUAAAGCUCUGUUGUUGGUGAAGAAGGAUAGAGGUAGUAACUGGCCUUUAUUUGACGGUAAUCAACCAGAAAGUCACGGCUAACUACGUGCCAGCAGCCGCGGUAAUACGUAGGUGGCAAGCGUUGUCCGGAUUUAUUGGGCGUAAAGCGAGCGCAGGCGGAAGAAUAAGUCUGAUGUGAAAGCCCUCGGCUUAACCGAGGAACUGCAUCGGAAACUGUUUUUCUUGAGUGCAGAAGAGGAGAGUGGAAUUCCAUGUGUAGCGGUGGAAUGCGUAGAUAUAUGGAAGAACACCAGUGGCGAAGGCGACUCUCUGGUCUGCAACUGACGCUGAGGCUCGAAAGUAUGGGUAGCGAACAGG